GGCUAGGGGUGAAAGGCCAAUCAAACUCGGAAAUAGCUGGUUCUCCGCGAAAGCUAUUUAGGUAGCGCCUCGAGUGAAUACCGUGCGGGGUAGAGCACUGGAUGGGCUAGGGCCGCCCACAGCGGUACCAAACCCAACCAAACUCCGAAUACGCACGAGUACUGCUCGGGAGACACACGGCGGGUGCUAACGUCCGUCGUGGAGAGGGAAACAACCCUGACCGACAGCUAAGGCCCCCAAUUCGUGGCUAAGUGGGAAAGGAUGUGGGACUCCCAAAACAACCAGGAGGUUGGCUUAGAAGCAGCCAUCCUUUAAAGAAAGCGUAACAGCUCACUGGUCUAAAUAAGGGGUCCUGCGCCGAAAAUGUAACGGGGCUCAAGCCACGAGCCGAAGCUUCGGGUGUAUCGCAAGAUACGCGGUAGCGGAGCGUUCCCUAGGCCGUUGAAGGGAUACUCGUGAGAGAUCCUGGAGGUAUGGGAAGUGCGAAUGCUGACAUGAGUAACGACAAAGAGUGUGAAAGACACUCUCGCCGAAAGUCCAAGGGUUCCUGCGUAAAGUUAAUCUUCGCAGGGUUAGCCGGCCCCUAAGGCGAGGCCGAAAGGCGUAGUCGAUGGGAACGGGGCGAAUAUUCCCCGGCCAGUGGAUGGUGACGGAUGCCGUAUAUCGUUCGAGCUUAUCGGAUUGCUCGGGCGGUGAAGGGGUCCCAGGAAAUAGCCUCCACGUAAGACCGUACCCGAAACCGACACAGGUGGACAGGUAGAGUAUACCAAGGCGCUUGAGAGAACGAUGCUGAAGGAACUCGGCAAUUUGCCUCCGUAACUUCGGGAUAAGGAGGCCCUGUCGGUGGGCAACCAUCGGCAGGGGGCACAGACCAGGGGGUGGCGACUGUUUAUCUAAAACACAGGGCUCUGCGAAGUCUGUAAGACGACGUAUAGGGCCUGACGCCUGCCCGGUGCCGGAAGGUUAAGAGGAGAGGUGAGAGCCUUGAAUUGAAGCCCCGGUAAACGGCGGCCGUAACUAUAACGGUCCUAAGGUAGCGAAAUUCCUUGUCGGGUAAGUUCCGACCUGCACGAAUGGCGUAACGAUGGCGGCGCUGUCUCCACCCGAGACUCAGUGAAAUUGAAAUCGCUGUGAAGAUGCAGUGUACCCGCGGCUAGACGGAAAGACCCCGUGAACCUUUACUAUAGCUUUGCACUGAACUUUGAACCUACUUGUGUAGGAUAGCUGGGAGGCUUUGAAGCGCGGACGCCAGUUCGCGUGGAGCCGUCCUUGAAAUACCAGCCUGGUAUGUUCGAGGUUCUAACUUUGGUCCGUCAUCCGGAUCGAGGACAGUGUAUGGUGGGUAGUUUGACUGGGGCGGUCUCCUCCUAAAGAGUAACGGAGGAGUACGAAGGUGCGCUCAGACCGGUCGGAAAUCGGUCGUAGAGUAUAAAGGCAAAAGCGCGCUUAACUGCGAGACCCACAAGUCGAGCAGGUACGAAAGUAGGUCUUAGUGAUCCGGUGGUUCUGUAUGGAAGGGCCAUCGCUCAACGGAUAAAAGGUACUCUGGGGAUAACAGGCUGAUACCGCCCAAGAGUUCAUAUCGACGGCGGUGUUUGGCACCUCGAUGUCGGCUCAUCUCAUCCUGGGGCUGAAGCAGGUCCCAAGGGUAUGGCUGUUCGCCAUUUAAAGAGGUACGCGAGCUGGGUUUAGAACGUCGUGAGACAGUUCGGUCCCUAUCUGCCGUGGGUGUAAGGAGACUUGAGAGGAUUUGUCCCUAGUACGAGAGGACCGG
rnacentral:rRNA from 1 species